UGAGUCCAACUGUCAUGUGGGCAGUUGGCUAGGAACAUUCUGCAUUCCAGGUCAGUUGGGAGUCAAGGUGGCUACUGGUCAUUCAGGGUGAUCGCCUGACCACAGGGAAGUCUCCCCACAAGGCAGCUACAGAGUAAAGUCGGGGGGAGACAGAGACAAACUUGGACUCCCAAGCCUUCAACAGGGCUUCAUUUGGGUGAAAGUCUUGCAUUUUGGGGCCUGCUUUCUGUCAUGUUGGUAUCUUACUGCUGCUACAAAGCAUCUGAGUUGUCAGCCUUAAGGUCUCUAUUUUAAUGUGAAUGCAGUGUCACCUGGACAGCCAUCAGCCCGAUGGAAAUGAAAUUUAGCUUGGAAGCAAGUAUAAAUCUCAUGCAACAGAUAAAUGCAUAGCAGCAUGAUCCUGCAACCUGUGAGGAAGACAAUGGCAAUUUAACUCAAGCCAGAAAGUAUUCAGAGUCAUGUCCCUCCGCUUCACUGGUGUAGGCAGAGCAGGCUCUGUGAGCCUGGCCUGUUUGAAUGAAACCUGAUGUUUAGGGAUUUCCUCAGCAAGAAUGACACAGAAGUUGCUGGAGCCUCUGAUCACAGGGACCCAAAAAGGUACGUGUGCACACACCAUGGUUCCCCAAGAGGACUUAAAAAAGGAAAUCAAGACGAUUCUUAAUUGUAGCAUUUUAGCAUUUAAUUUUUUCAUGACCUGUAUGAAAAAGAAUGUGUGGUAAUUAGAAUUUGGCUAAAAUUGAAUCAAUUUCAACCAUCAAGUAGCCUUUUAAUCAAGUAAUAAAUUCUUUGAAACAGAUGCUAUGAAUCUACUUCCUGUUUCUAUAGUACAGUGCCUUUCCGUAUUAACCUUAGGGUGAUUAUUUCACAUUGAUGAGGUUGCCCUAGCUAGAAAGCCAAGGCUCUUUCAUUUCUUCUGUCCCUCUCCUUUGCCUGCCUUCAACACCAAGGAGAAUGGUCCAGCAGCAGCUCAGUCCAUGCUUGUCAACUGCCCACCUCCAUACACUCCAGCCCCGGUCCAUAGCCCCGGUCCACAGCCCCCAAGGCUCCUUGUGGGAUUCCUCAGCAGCACCAAUGCACUGUCACUCUAUGUUCUCUCCGGUUUUGUUGAAGAUCUAGACGAGUGUGUAUUCUGUAAUCAAGAGAAGGCGAGUCAUCCGACAUGGUAAGAGGCAUUUCUUCGUCUGGAAGAGAAAUUUUUUUUUUCUUUUCUGGGGCUUCUAGAAUAUCAGGUGAGUAUCAUUUCUGGCCGCCAUCAUGGAUCAGGCCUCAGUUGGUCAUGGACUCUAGCGACCGAUCAACUGGAGGUUACAGCCAACUGAGGCUUGAAUGACAAUGUCAGUCAAAGGACGGCAUCACUUACAAACUGUUUGGUAGGGAGUGUAUUUCUGAGUAGCAACCUUUUCUCCUUAAAAAAUAAUUCUGUACUUGCCAGCCAACACGGACACUUGCUAAAUAUUCCAAAAAACCCACGGCAUUUUCCACAAGCAUUCUCUAUGCUUUAUUUGGGGUCCAGUGACUUGAUCACUGUUUGACAUCCGGUUUUUUAUUUCACCAAGUGAAUAAAAGGCCUUUGCCAACAGAACCCAGCAUCAUUUGAUUCUCAUGGUGUUUCUUUUUUUCUCUUAUUGCAGGAAACAUCUAGAGCCCAGUACCACCACUGUCAUGUUGAAGAUUUGCAGGAGUCUGCACAUGGCAGUGCGGAGGAGAAUUAUGACAUCCAAAUUUUAAGAUGUAUUUCUUUCUCUGGAAAUUUUUUUGUUUAUUUUUUUCCCUGUGGCUUCUAGAAUAUCAAGUGAAUAUCAUUUUUGACUGCCAUCAUGGAUCAGGCUUCAGUUGGUCAUGAACUCUAGCGACUGGUCACUGGAGGUUAUGACCAAAGGAGGCCUCAUUGACGGUGUCAAAGGACGGCAUCACUUACAAACUGUCUGGUAGUGAGUAUGUUUCUCAGUAGCAACCUUUUCUCCUUGAAAAAUAAUUAUGUAUUUGCCAGCCAACAUGGACACUCACUAAAUAUUCCAAGAAAACCCACUGCAUUUGCCAGAAGCAUCCUCUAUGCUUUACUUGGGGGCCAGUGACUUGAUCACUGUUUGACAUCCGGUUUUUUAUUUCACCAACCCCCACACUCCUUGCCCUAGGCAGCCACUCACCUACUUUCUGUUUAUCUAGAUUUGCCUACUCUGGCAAUUUCUUUUUUUUUUUUUAAUUUAAUUUAAUUUAGUUUCUACUUUAAGUUCAGAGAUACAUGGACAGGAUGGGCAGGUUUAAAGAUAUUUUGCUUUCCCGAUUUCUUCGCAAUUAUGAUAUGAAAAUCUGACAAUGCACAUUAUGUACAACAUAUACAAUUCUCUUUGUGGGGGUGAAAUUCAGUGGGAGUGUCUUCCCAACUGGGAAGUUUUUAAGUUUUCAAGCAGCAAGGAUAACCUGAAGGCUCUUGGGAACCCUUUCCCAUCAGAUCCUACCUGGAAGUUUUCCCACUGGGAGGUUUUUAAAGGACAGCAUCCAUUAUUGGCUGUAAUGCGGAGGCAUUUUCUUCAACACGUUUUCCUCCUUGGGUUAAGCAUUGUGUGUUUGCCCAUUAAAUCAGCUUUAAGGUAAAUUCUGUGAAUAAACAUCUUAUUUUUCCAUAGGCAUCCUCACAGCGUUUGGGGAUGUUGACCUAUGGCUCAACCACCCUACCGCCUCUGGUUUUCUAACAUUGUCAAGGGAAUAACAGAUCUGUGGGAAGUACACAGCAGAAUCUGCUCCUCACAGCGUUUUCCUCUGUGUGACUGCAGCUAACAUCGCAUGGCAGCAAAUGCAGUAAGCACCACGAAGUUACUUCACGAGGGACAAACGUGUUGCUUGAGUGUAUAGAAACCUGAUUCUGGGAUCCUGCUGGGAAGGAGGAUUGGGGGUCUCGCGAGAGAAAGUGAUUUUGCUGGUAUAGGACUCUGGCCAGAGAGGCUGUAGGAAGGUUUGUCAACGCACAGCAAAGACCAGAGGAUCAUGUGUGAGGCAGCAUGGCUUCAGCUGCAGGAGGAGGAGUGGUUUCCAGGUGCUUCAGGAGGCACGGCUCCCGAAGGUGCAGACAUGGCCAAGUCCAAGAACCACACCACGCACAACCAGUCAUGAAAAUGGCACAGGAAUGCUGUCAAGAAACUCCUCUCCCUAUUUAGACCCCUAGAUCCUCUGGUGUGGUCUAUGCUGGGGAGAUCUGUGACCUGACUCCUCUGUUCUGAGGGAUUCAGGGCUAGGUCUCCCAGUUCCAGUGCAGGACACUCUACGUACCCCACAGGAUAGCCCAAGGCCAUCCACACAGCCACUCUGUUUCUGCCCUCCUCUGAGGAGCUCCAAGACAACAAGGUCACACUGGUGUGUCUCAUCAGUGACUUCUCCUCCGGUGCUGUGAUGGUGGCCUGGAAGGCAGACGGCACCCCCAUCCCCCAGGGCAUGGAGACCAUCAAGCCCUCCAAAUAGAACAACAGGAAGUACAUAGCCAGCAGCUACCUGAGUCUGAUACCUGACCAAUGGAGGUCCCACAGAAUCUACAGCUGCCAGGUCACACAUGAAGGGACCACUGUGGAGUUGACAGUGGUCCCUGCAGAAUGCGCUCAGGCCCCCGACCCUCACCCCAUCCACAGGGACCUGGGAGCUGCAGGAUCCCAGGGCAGGGGUCUCCUCUCUCAUUCCAAGGCAUCCAGCCCCUCUCCCUGCAUCCAAGUAACCCUCAAUAAAUAUUGUCAAUUAGAAA